GAUGAAGAACGCAGCGAAAUGCGAUAAGUAAUGUGAAUUGCAGAAUUCAGUGAAUCAUCGAAUCUUUGGACGCAUCUUGCGCUCCUUGGUAUUCCGGGGGGCAUGCCUGUCCGAGCGUCAUUGCUGCCCUCAAGCACGGCUUGUGUGUUGGGCCUCCGUCCUCCUCCCGGGGGACGGGCCCGAAAGGCAGCGGCGGCACCGCGUCCGGUCCUCGAGCGUAUGGGGCUUCGUCACCCGCUCUUGUAGGCCCGGCCGGCGCUUGCCGACACAUCAAUCUUUUUUCCAGGUUGACCUCGGAUCAGGUAGGGAUACCCGCUGAACUUAAGCAUAUCAAUAAGCGGAGGA
rnacentral:misc_RNA from 1 species